AUUUUCCCGGUUGAUCCUGCCGGACCCGACUGCUAUCAGAAUGAGAUUAAGCCAUGCGAGUCAACGUAGCAAUACGUGGCACACGGCUCAGUAACACGUAGUCAACAUAACCAGAGGACGUGGAUAAACUCGGGAAACUGAGGCUAAACCGCGAUAGACCAAGAUACCUGGAAUGGUUUUUGAUCAAAAUCUAUAUGGCCUUUGGAUUGGACUGCGACCGAUCAGGCUGUUGGUGAGGUAAUGGCCCACCAAACCUGUAACCGGUACGGGCUCUGAGAGGAGGAGCCCGGAGAUGGGUACUGAGAAAAGGACCCAGGCCCUAUGGGGCGCAGCAGGCGCGAAACCUCUGCAAUAGGCGAAAGCCUGACAGGGUUAUUCUGAGUGACUUUCGCUAAGAAAGUCUUUUGACAUCUCUAAAAAUGGUGUAGAAUAAGGGGUGGGCAAGUCUGGUGUCAGCCGCCGCGGUAAUACCAGCACCCCGAGUGGUCGGGACGAUUAUUGGGCCUAAAGCAUCCGUAGCCGGUUUUACAAGUCCUCCGUUAAAUCCAACUGCUUAACAGAUGGGCCGCGGAGGAUACUAUAAGACUAGGAGGCAGGAGAGGCAAGCGGUACUCAGUGGGUAGGGGUAAAAUCCGUUGAUCCAUUGAAGACCACCGGUGGCGAAGGCGGCUUGCCAGAAUGCGCUCGACGGUGAGGGAUGAAAGCUGGGGGAGCAAACCGGAUUAGAUACCCGGGUAGUCCCAGCUGUAAACGAUGCAGACUCGGUGAUGGACUAGCUUAAUGCUAGUCCAGUGCCGCAGGGAAGCCGUUAAGUCUGCCGCCUGGGUAGUACGGUCGCAAGACUGAAACUUAAAGGAAUUGGCGGGAAU
rnacentral:rRNA from 1 species